rnacentral:rRNA from 1 species
AACGUAGGACGCGAGCGUUAUCCGGAGUUACUGGGCGUAAAGCGUGCGCAGGCGGUUCGUUGUGUCCGUCGUGAAAGCCCCGGGCUUAACCUGGGAACUGCGAUGGAAACUAGCGAGCUGGAGUGUGGCAGAGGGGGGUGGAAUUCCGCGUGUAGCAGUGAAGUGCGUAGAGAUGCGGAGGAACACCGAUGGCGAAGGCAGCCCCCUGGGCUAACACUGACGCUCAGGCACGAAAGCGUGGGGAGCAAACAGG